rnacentral:rRNA from 1 species
AGUGAACGCUGGCGGUAGGCCUAACACAUGCAAGUCGAGCGGCAGCACAGUAAGAGCUUGCUCUUACGGGUGGCGAGUGGCGGACGGGUGAGGAAUACAUCGCAAUCUACUUUUUCGUGGGGGAUAACGUAGGGAAACUUACGCUAAUACCGCAUACGACCUACGGGUGAAAGCAGGGGAUCUUCGGACCUUUCGCGAUUGUAUUAGCCGAUGUCGGAUUAGCUAGUUGGCGGGGUAAAGGCCCACCAAGGCGACGAUCCGUAGCUGGUCUGAGAGGAUGAUCAGCCACACUGGAACUGAGACACGGUCCAGACUCCUACGGGAGGCAGCAGUGGGGAAUAUUGGACAAUGGGCGCAAGCCUGAUCCAGCCAUACCGCGUGGGUGAAGAAGGCCUUCGGGUUGUAAAGCCCUUUUGUUGGGAAAGAAAAGCAGCAGGUUAAUACCCCGCUGUUCUGACGGUACCCAAAGAAUAAGCACCGGCUAACUUCGUG